UAGAAUGAUCUCACAGACUUGCACCUGUGUCCACAGAUUAGGCAUCUUUGUUGGAUGUGGUUGUACUGUGCAGAGGACUGAGCUUCACUCCUUUCAUUCUGUGUUUUUCCUGAGUGUGCGUAAUUGAUCAUAAACCACAAGCACACACGCACCUCAUGCACAAAACCUCCAUGGAUGUACAAUAAACUUUCCUAUACCUGG